UCCGGUUUGUCACCGGCAGUCCCAUUAGAGUGCUCAACUGAAUGUAGCAACUAAUGGCAAGGGUUGCGCUCGUUGCGGGACUUAACCCAACAUCUCACGACACGAGCUGACGACAGCCAUGCAGCACCUGUGUCCAGGUUCCCUUUCGGGCACCCUCCCAUCUCUGAGAGGUUCCUGGCAUGUCAAGGGUAGGUAAGGUUUUUCGCGUUGCAUCGAAUUAAUCCACAUAAUCCACCGCUUGUGCGGGCCCCCGUCAAUUCCUUUGAGUUUCAUUCUUGCGAACGUACUCCCCAGGUGGCUAACUUAUCACUUUCGCUUAGUCUCUGAACCCGAAAGCCCAAAAACGAGUUAGCAUCGUUUACGGCGUGGACUAC
rnacentral:misc_RNA from 1 species